rnacentral:rRNA from 1 species
CAGUCGAACGGUAACAGGCCGCAAGGUGCUGACGAGUGGCGAACGGGUGAGUAAUGCAUCGGAACGUGCCCAAUCGUGGGGGAUAACGCAGCGAAAGCUGUGCUAAUACCGCAUACGAUCUAUGGAUGAAAGCGGGGGACCGUAAGGCCUCGCGCGAUUGGAGCGGCCGAUGUCAGAUUAGCUAGUUGGUGGGGUAAAGGCCCACCAAGGCGACGAUCUGUAGCUGGUCUGAGAGGACGACCAGCCACACUGGGACUGAGACACGGCCCAGACUCCUACGGGAGGCAGCAGUGGGGAAUUUUGGACAAUGGGCGCAAGCCUGAUCCAGCAAUGCCGCGUGCAGGAAGAAGGCCUUCGGGUUGUAAACUGCUUUUGUACGGAACGAAACGGCUCUGGUUAAUACCUGGGGCUAAUGACGGUACCGUAAGAAUAAGCACCGGCUAACUACGUGCCAGCAGCCGCGGUAAUACGUAGGGUGCAAGCGUUAAUCGGAAUUACUGGGCGUAAAGCGUGCGCAGGCGGUUUUGUAAGACAGGCGUGAAAUCCCCGGGCUCAACCUGGGAAUUGCGCUUGUGACUGCAAAGCUGGAGUGCGGCAGAGGGGGAUGGAAUUCCGCGUGUAGCAGUGGAAUGCGUAGAUAUGCGGAGGAACACCGAUGGCGAAGGCAAUCCCCUGGGCCUGCACUGACGCUCAUGCACGA